UACGGGGGGGGGCAAGCGUUGUUCGGAAUUACUGGGCGUAAAGGGCUCGUAGGCGGCCAACUAAGUCAGACGUGAAAUCCCCUCGGCUUAACCGGGGAACUGCGUCUGAUACUGGAUGGCUUGAGUUUGGGAGAGGGAUGCGGAAUUCCAGGUGUAGCGGUGAAAUGCGUAGAUAUCUGGAGGAACACCGGUGGCGAAGGCGGCAUCCUGGACCAACACUGACACUGAGGAGCGAAAGCCAGGGGAGCAAACGGG
rnacentral:rRNA from 1 species